CAACUGGUUUAUUUGAUCGAACUGUCCAAAAGAACCGGUUCACUUGAGUACCUGCUCCUUUGCCCCUUAAGUGUCCUUUUGUCAAAGCAAAAUUUCCUCGAAUUUUUUUUUGUAAUAACAUUCCCUUUUGUGAAUGCCUGUCCACGCCUAAUCAUAAUAUUAGUACAAUUUAUUAAUAAUAAUUUAGCCGUAAAUAAAAUGACCAACAUGAUGACCUUUCACCUGACGACCUCAUCCGACCGGGACGAUUCCUCACACCACACGCGCAUUUUUUAAUUGCUAGAGGAUAUUUUCAACACCGUGGCAGUUGGUCUUGCAUUCAUGAGCAAGGAGAAGAAAGAAGGCCUGAGGCAUCUCAGCACGACGCUACAGGUUUAUCUCAGUGAGGAGAACCACGAUUUGUCUCUGUUUCCGCCUGGCCUGGACCCCAUCUGCCUCCUCACCAGAAUGAGGUCUAGAUGGGGUCAUGAUGGUACGGGGGAAUUUCCGUUACUAAAGGCCUAUUAAAAUACAACCCAGUGGCGUUUCUUCAAGACGACAUGGAAUGACAUUCACAAAGCACUGUGCUUCUGAUGAAGUAGAAAAUGUAAAGCAUGGCGUGAUUUUAUUCACUGGGAUUGAUUGAUUGUUAAAUGUUAGGCUAUGAUAUUAUUAUUAGAUAUUUUUUUAAGGCAGGUAUUUUUUUUUCUACGUCUCUACUCUUAACCCUAUUAAUGUCCUUUGGUGUAUUAAACUUUGGC